rnacentral:rRNA from 1 species
AGAGAUCUGACGGUACUGAUGAAUAAGCACGCUAUCGUGCAGCAGCGCGUAUACGGGAGUGCAGCGUAUCGAAUAUGGGCGUAAAGCGUCCGCAGCGCCUCAAGUCUGCUGUUAAAAAGUGGAGCUUAACUCCAUCAUGGCAGUGGAAACUGUUGGGCUUGAGUGUGGUAGGGGCAGAGGGAAUUCCCGGUGUAGCGGUGAAAUGCGUAGAUAUCGGGAAGAACACCAGUGGCGAAGGCGCUCUGCUGGGCCAUCACUGACGCUCAUGGACGAAAGCCAGGGGAGCGAAAGGGAUUAGAUACCCCUGUAGUCCUGGCCGUAAACGAUGAACACUAGGUGUCGGGGGAAUCGACCCCCUCGGUGUCGUAGCCAACGCGUUAAGUGUUCCGCCUGGGGAGUACGCACGCAAGUGUGAAACUCAAAGGAAUUGACGGGGGCCCGCACAAGCGGUGGAGUAUGUGGUUUAAUUCGAUGCAACGCGAAGAACCUUACCAGGGUUUGACAUCCUGCGAAUCUCUUGGAAACAGGAGAGUGCCUUCGGGAACGCAGUGACAGGUGGUGCAUGGCUGUCGUCAGCUCGUGUCGUGAGAUGUUGGGUUAAGCCCCGCAACGAGCGCAACCCACGUCUUUAGUUGCCAGCAUUUAGUUGGGCACUCUAGAGAGACUGCCGGUGAUAAACCGGAGGAAGGUGUGGAUGACGUCAAGUCAUCAUGCCCCUUACAUCCUGGGCUACACACGUACUACAAUGCUACGGACAAAGGGCAGCAAGUUCGCGAGGACAAGCAAAUCCCAUAAACCGUGGCUCAGUUCAGAUCGUAGGCUGCAACUCGCCUACGUGAAGGCGGAAUCGCUAGUAAUCGCAGGUCAGCAUACUGCGGUGAAUACGUUCCCGGGCCUUGUACACACCGCCCGUCACACCAUGGAAGUUGGCCACGCCCGAAGCCGUUACUCCAACCCUUGUGGA